rnacentral:lncRNA from 1 species
UAUGUUUCAAUAGAUUAGUUUUUGGGGUAUUUUUAAGGUUGAACUAAAAUUCUUUCUCGGACAACCAGCUAUCACCAGGCUCGUUAGGCUUUUCACCUCUACCUACAAGUCUUCUCAUAGGUAGCUCGUCUGGUUUCGGGGUAUCUAGCUAAAGUUCUCUUUGUUAGAUUUUUUCU